rnacentral:rRNA from 1 species
GAUCCUGGGCUCAGGACGAACGCUGGCGGCGUGCUUAACACAUGCAAGUCGAACGAAGAGCGAUGGAAGCUUGCUUCUAUCAAUCUUAGUGGCGAACGGGUGAGUAACGCGUAAUCAACCUGCCCUUCAGAGGGGGACAACAGUUGGAAACGACUGCUAAUACCGCAUACGAUCUAAUCUCGGCAUCGAGGAUGGAUGAAAGGUGGCCUCUACAUGUAAGCUAUCACUGAAGG